UGCUUUCUUAGAUAUAGUAUUUGUUUCUACAUCCAAAAAAUCUCACCAGAGUUGUGAUAAUCUUCAACUUGUGUUUCUCGGUGUCCCUUGCUGAUUAUUCAACAGAUUCAUUGCUAUAAUGUAUCUCAAUUAACUAUAAGGUUGAAUAUAUUUCACGCUCCCCGAACCCCUCUCUCCUCCAAAUUGUUGCUACAAGACAUAAUUAAACAACUUAUAACUAUAAUUUUUCUAAUUAAGCACAACUGUAACUCAUUUAGGAAAAUUAUUCUAGAAUUUAUUACUGAUAAAAUUAAUAAGAAUUUAUCCAAAUAAGUUUCUUCUUUAUUAAGGAAUUACUUAGUGUCACUACUCAAUUCAUCCUAAAAAGAGUUCCUUACAAAUUGCUCACGUAUCCUUCAUGACUCAUCUGUUAAGUUCUAAUCCUAGUAAACCUACCACAAAAUCCAAUUUCUAACCUAGCAAUAUCAUAAGCCCAAAUUUUAUACAAUUUCCAAAUAUAACUUUUAUUUCAAAAUAUUUGAAGAUUACUUGCCCCAAGUUACUUUCAAACAUAAAUAGUUUGACUCUUAGGAAUUAAGUAAAACCUAGACUCCUCUAUCCGAGCUUAAUUGUAUAAAACUUGGGAAUCUCCACCCAUAAGCAACCUUGGAUUAAAAAGGAAAAAACAAGUUUGGAUUAAAAAGGAUAAACAAGUUGUUUAAUUAAGUGGGCCUCCAAAUUUUUUAAAUUAGGUGGGAGGGACAAAUCCUUUUUGAGUCUUUUUUUUUUUUUAAGUUUUUCCGUUCGAACAACUUGUCCCAGUUGUAGAACAACUUUGGUAGUUGCUCGACAACUUUGCGAAGUUGUUCAACAACUACCAAAGUUGUUCAACAACGUUGUUCGACAAUUGCGCAAAGUUGUUCGACAACUAAUGUAGUUGUCUAAUAACUAUCUCAGUUGUUUGAGGGACUUAAGUUUUUUAAGGGGUCAAGUUUGUGGGACCCACUUAUCUUUUUUUUUUUUUUUUAAUUGGAAACCUGCAAGGCCCUUUUGGCUCAUUUUUCUCAGCAACGUUCCCUUCAUUCUGCACAAAGCAUAGGGAUUUACUGAAAAUUCAAAGGUGCAUCUCUUUUCAUUAAUUAAAAUUCACAUCUUAUUUCAUUAGAAUGAUUUCUAUUAGGUCGGUUUUUGAUUGCUUGUGUGCUUUACUUUGCUUUCUAAAGUGGAAUUAGACAUGUUUCAAAUUGGAUUUUUGCGAUUUGACACACCAGAAUUUGAUACCAAUUGGCCAGUCACGUUUUUAAACUAUGACUUGUUUAUUAGUAGUAUAUACAUGACAUAAAUAUACUAAGAUUAUUUCUUACUUUCAGUUUAAUUUUUACAGGGACUUUUUUUGUAUGUGUUCGCGUACGUAUUAGAUGAGUGGCAUCGCUAUGGCCACCUGCGGUAAUAGUGGGGCUUUUCUUGAAGAUUUAGAAAUGGAGAUCCUAUUGAAUUUGUUGUGAAGUCGUUGUUGCGAUUCAAAUGCGUAUGCAAAAAAUGGUGUGCUCUUAUAGAGGACCCCAAGUUCAUAAUAGAACACUUGAAUACGCGGUCUACUCAUGUUCAAGGGAUUCAUGGAAAAUCUUCAAACAUAACAUCAACUGUAAUCGAAAUACUGACUGUGUUGGAAGCUUAUAUAACACUACUUACUUGAAUGGAUCUUACUACUGGUUGUUAACGGAGAAACCUACUUGGAAUAUUCUUUCAUUUGACUUUGGGAAAGAGGUGUUUGUAGAGAUUGAAGGACCACCAGUUGAUUACUGCAUUUAUAGUUGGAGUGCGAAUCUGAUAUUGCUUGAUGACUCCGUUGCCAUCUUGAACUUUGUUGAGAGGUUGGUUAUUGAUGUAUGGGUAAUGAUCCAACCAGGGGUCUGGAACAAACUUGUCACUGUUAACUGCUUUGCACAUAUUAAGUCUUGUUAUGAAAGCUCUUUGAUUUUGGUAACUAGCGAUUCUCAACUGCUCUCCUAUAAUGUUCGGACAAAGAAGACGAGGCUUCUUGAAUUUUUUUCAUCCGGACCUAAGCAGUAGUGCCCCAAACCAUGCUGGUUGUGGAAUUUAUUAUUAUAAAGAGAGCUUAGUAACGAUUAAACGACAACGAAAUGAUGAGCUCCAUCUCUGCAGCUGUUUGACGAAAAUGUCGGUCGAAUUCUAAAUUUCAAUAAGAGCCUUAAACAUAUUGGAUAAAUUUACAUGUUUAUGUUUAUGUACGGUUCAUUCUUCCAACUUAUUUAGGUGCAUCUCAUGGAAUAUUGUAUGUAUUCUUUCAACCUCAUAUAUAUUUUUAUUAUGGGUU
rnacentral:lncRNA from 1 species